rnacentral:rRNA from 1 species
UACGGAGGGUGCAAGCGUUGUCCGGAUUUAUUGGGUUUAAAGGGUGCGUAGGCGGCCCGUUAAGUCAGCGGUGAAAUCCCGGGGCUCAACCCCGGAACUGCCGUUGAUACUGGCGGGCUUGAGUUCGGUCGAGGCGGGCGGAAUUGAAGAUGUAGCGGUGAAAUGCUUAGAUAUCUUCAAGAACACCGAUUGCGUAGGCAGCUCACUAGGCUGUAACUGACGCUGAGGCACGAAAGCGUGGGGAGCGAACAGG